rnacentral:snRNA from 1 species
GCACUUACCUGGCAUGAUCAAAAAAGUUUUCUCAGGGAUUGGUUUAUCCACUAUAUUCCAUAUAUGCUGACAGGUGUGAUUUCCCCCAACAUAGGAAAUUUGGCUGCAUAAGUUGUGGUAGUGAGGGCCUGCAUCCAAUCUACCACCUAA